rnacentral:rRNA from 1 species
AUUGAACGCUGGCGGCAGGCCUAACACAUGCAAGUCGAGCGGAUGAUGGGAGCUUGCUCCUUGAUUCAGCGGCGGACGGGUGAGUAAUGCCUAGGAAUCUGCCUGGUAGUGGGGGACAACGUUUCGAAAGGAACGCUAAUACCGCAUACGUCCUACGGGAGAAAGCAGGGGACCUUCGGGCCUUGCGCUAUCAGAUGAGCCUAGGUCGGAUUAGCUUGUUGGUGAGGUAAUGGCUCACCAAGGCGACGAUCCGUAACUGGUCUGAGAGGAUGAUCAGUCACACUGGAACGGAGACACGGUCCAGACUCGUACGGGAGGCAGGAGUGGGGAAUAUUGGACAAUGGGCGAAAGCCUGAUGCAGCCCUCCCGCGUGUGUGAAGCAGGUCUUCGGAUUGUAAAGCACUUUAAGUUGGGAGGAAGGGUUGUAGAUCAAUACUCUGCAAUUUUGACGUUACCGACAGAAUAAGCACCGGCUAACUCUGUGCCAGCCACCGCCGUAAAAC